rnacentral:rRNA from 1 species
UUGUGAGGCAUCUCCGGGUAGGGCGCCGGCCUAAGUUCCUUGGAACAGGACGUCAUAGAGGGUGAGAAUCCCGUGCUUGGCUGGCUGUCCCCGUCCAUGUGAGGUGUCUUCGACGAGUCGAGUUGUUUGGGAAUGCAGCUCAAAAUGGGUGGUAAAUUUCAUCUAAAGCUAAAUAUUGGUGGGAGACCGAUAGCGCACAAGUAGAGUGAUCGAAAGAUGAAAAGCACUUUGAAAAUAGAGUUAAAAAGUACGUGAAAUUGUUGAAAGGGAAGCGCUUGAGACCAGACUUCGGUGGGGGGUGAUCAGCUGUCCUUCUGGGCGGUGCACUUGCUCCCCUCCGGGCCAGCAUCGGUUGGGGCGGCGGGAUAAAGAUCCCGGGAAUGUGGCUCCUUUCGGGGAGUGUUAUAGCCCGGGUGAAUGCCGCCAGCUCCGACCGAGGACCGCGCCUUCGGGCUAGG